UGGCUGUUACCGUCUGGUCAUGCCGACGCCCAUCUCACUUCUGCUAGGCUAGCAGACUUUAUGCUAACGCGUUAGCAUUUAAGCUAACGGACUUUCUCCUUCUUAUGGGUGGCGACUAACCCAGUACAGGAUGAAGGACUGAAAGAAGUCAUCGGCGUAGCGUCGGGAGAUCCCUCUUAUAAUCUGCCCUCGAGAGGAACCGUCGUGUCUAAGGAUACACACUUUCACAGGAGACCACUGGACUUCUGGGAACGACGACAACGACUUGGGCGUCACAGAGCAUUCCAUUGAAGAAGACUGGACUAACCCAGUCGUUUGCACUAACUACCUCAUUAUAGACCGGGUCCAGAUCAAAAACCACUGUGUCUAGCCUUCUCAAAUCCGGAGGUGAUUGCAUCACAAGCGCGUGUCGCGGCUGCCGUCCGAGGUGAUCUACUGGACCAAUUAGGAAACUGUUUUAAAUAAAUCUACAUAAGCGGUGACACUUUGACAGCCAACGCGUCAGGCGAGAAACACACCCAUCGCCGCACUACCAGACCUGAGAGGCAUCAUUACCCCUGAUGAAAAUGUCCUGACCAGAGAGGAAAAACAAGGACUUGCAGUGGAGAUGUAUUUGUAAAUGACUGCAAGUGUGUAAAGGGCAGUAAAAAAAACAGAUGGAGAGAUCAUUUGGUUUCUGCAUGUUGCUGACACGGGACAGGUUUAAUGUUCGUAAAGCAGCAGCUACACAGGUGCAUGUGCAUGAACACAGAUAUUAGUGUAGCCCCUUGAGUUCGUCCUUAGGAAACUCUCUGGUAACCCACGAGGCUCUUGAGGAUGGAGAUCUAUAUCUCCAUCUCUAUCUCCAUCCUUACAACUCCCACCGCUUUAUCCUCCACAUGAGGGUCGCUCCUCGCUGCCGACGUAGGGCAAAAAUGCAGGGGAACACCCUGGACAGGUCACCAGUCCGUCACAGGGCCACAGACACAAACAACAUCCACUCUCACACUUUCAAUUUGUAUGUAUUAAUAUAUAUAAUAGAUGAAUAGAUACACCUGCUGUUUCACACAUAUUUAACAGCAAAGCCAUAACAAAUAUCUUUCCCUAACAGCAGCAGCUUCAAUAAGAGUAUUUAACCACCCUCAGCAUAACUUCACAGUCACUGUUUCAUUUAUAAUCACAUUAGCAAAUUCCUACAUUUAAGGCUUCGGCAGUGUUGUUUACUUUGAUAUUUUCCAGCGUGAGACCAGGAUGCCUCUCCAUAUUUAUGACAGGAGAGAAGCUCCUGAAAUACGCCACAUCUGCUCGCUCUGCAUCUGGAGACGAGGACCCCACAUUGUUCCUGUCGACGCACAGUAAAGCGCUCCUUCUUAUCGUUUAAAAAUAGUACGAGUAAUGAGUAGAAGGCAGUGACAGGAUGUUACCUAACUGUGGCGACUUGUACUCUGCUUAUAAGAGACAUGAUGGUCUCAUGUAAAAGGUUAUUCAUCAGCAGCUCAGCCAUGGUGUGAUACUACUGCCAUCUACUGAUACUGCAGUGAUAAAUGUUUGUUAUGAAAGCUUUUUUAUUUUCAUAUGUGACCAACAUGCCUCAAAGGAAUGAUUUACCACCAACAUUUUCUCAAAAUCUAACAUGUUUGACCACUACUGAAGUGCACUUGUGACUGGACUUUUCUCUUCAGAGCUCAGCGUGUCAGCACGGAGAAGCAUUCACAAGUUACUUCAUUCUUUCACCAGAGGGAGCUGUAGAGCUGCAGCCGGAGGUGAGGUGAAGGCUUCUCUUCUUCAUUGUCCUUCACUGCUGCAAGGAAACACACACACACACACACACACACACACACACA